UGGGGAAUUUUGGACAAUGGGCGAAAGCCUGAUCCAGCAAUGCCGCGUGUGUGAAGAAGGCCUUCGGGUUGUAAAGCACUUUUGUCCGGAAAGAAAUCCUUGGCUCUAAUACAGUCGGGGGAUGACGGUACCGGAAGAAUAAGCACCGGCUAACUACGUGCCAGCAGCCGCGGUAAUACGUAGGGUGCAAGCGUUAAUCGGAAUUACUGGGCGUAAAGCGUGCGCAGGCGGUUUGCUAAGACCGAUGUGAAGUCCCCGGGCUCAACCUGGGAACUGCAUUGGUGACUGGCAGGCUAGAGUAUGGCAGAGGGGGGUAGAAUUCCACGUGUAGCAGUGAAAUGCGUAGAGAUGUGGAGGAAUACCGAUGGCGAAGGCAGCCCCCUGGGCCAAUACUGACGCUCAUGCACGAAAGCGUGGGGAGCAAAACAGGAUUAGAUACCCUGGUAGUCCACGCCCUAAACGAUGUCAACUAGUUGUUGGGGAUUCAUUUCCUUAGUAACGUAGCUAACGCGUGAAGUUGACCGCCUGGGGAGUACGGUCGCAAGAUUAAAACUCAAAUGAAUUGACGGGGUCAUAGCUGUUUCCU
rnacentral:rRNA from 1 species